rnacentral:SRP_RNA from 2 species
GCCAGGCAUGGUGGCGCAUGCCUGUAAUCCCAGCUACUUGAGAGGCUGAGGCAGGAGACUCCCUUGAACCCAGGAAGUGGAGGCUGCAGUGAGCCAAGAUCGUGCCACUGCACUUCAGCCUGGGCAACAGAGCGAGAUCCUGUCUCAA